rnacentral:rRNA from 1 species
UACGUAGGGUGCGAGCGUUAAUCGGAAUUACUGGGCGUAAAGCGUGCGCAGGCGGUUCGUUGUGUCGGUGGUGAAAGCCCCGGGCUUAACCUGGGAAUGGCCAUGGAAACUGGCGAACUGGAGUGUGGCAGAGGGGGGUGGAAUUCCGCGCGUAGCAGUGAAAUGCGUAGAGAUGCGGAGGAACACCGAUGGCGAAGGCAGCCCCCUGGGCUAGCACUGACGCUCAGGCACGAAAGCGUGGGGAGCAAACAGG